AUUAUGAAAUAUAAGUGAUAUUCAAAGUAUUUAUUGACGACAUGUGAAUGUACUAUAGGUACGAGUACCUAUACCUAUAUAGUCUUGACUUUUGUAAACGACAUUAAUCAGAACUCCAUAAAAAUAUUGACAUUUUUGACUUAAACCAGAAUUGGCCGCAUUGGCAAAUAUAUCGUAAGAGAAAUAUAGUUUAUUUUGCUAGUGCUAGAGGCAAGAGAAACAGUAUGGAGAUUUCCUUUAAGUGUUUUUCUUGCCCCAAUGUUUCUCGUAUCCCAUUCAAACUUAUUUAGAAUUGAUAUGAAUUGUUCUGAUGUCGAUGGUUUGAGUUUUCUCCUAAGCUUAUCUGCUUUAAGAAAUUGCGACUUCAGUACCUAUAAUAUGAAAUGAGAACAAUAAUCAGAUUCGUCAAACGAAUGUCUGUAGAAAUAAACCCCAGGAUAUUACAUGUAUUGUCUGUUAUUAAUAAGAAUGUGACGAUUUAUUAUUAAUUAAUAUUAAUAAUCGGUGUGAACUUUUAACUCGGGUAAUUAUUAAUUUAUAUUAGUAGUUGUCGAUUCGUCAACACUUCUGUAAAUAGUACAUAAUGUGAUAAUUAUUUUUAAACUUGUUGUAACAUGAUUUAUUCUAGAUUUAGUAUUAUAAUAUCUACUAUUAUUUCUUACCGCUUUUACACUAUUUUUAAGUUUUAAUUUAAUCGAUUUAUUAAACUAACUGUAUAAUUUGACGAUUGGAAUUGACAUUUGAUUAUUUAUGCUAUUGCUUAUUUAAUUAUUGUUUGACAGUGAUUUUCGAUGUCUUUUAGCUUAGGUAUGUAUUAAUGAUCUCAAUUAUUUCAAUGUACUGUUAGAAGAUGAGGUAUUAAAGCUUUUAAUUAAACCCCUUCUUCUCUUGUACUUACUACUAAGAUGUGGACAUUUGUGAUCAUUGUGAUUAUGACUGGAUCAUGGAUGUGUUAUCUUUUUUUUUAUCAAAAUCUAGCGAUUUGGAAAAAGCAUGCAAUUGGCGGUUUUCUUAUAAAAUUAUUUAAAUAUUUUACUGUGUAAUUAUGUCAAAAGCAGCGUUCUGAUCUAGCUGGUAUCGCCCAUGUUAAACGUUUUUGAACAAUGUGACGUACCAAACAUACUUUGAUAUUAUGAUUUUUAUACCUACCUAUUAAUCUUAUUAUGGUACGUAAAGUAUACCUAUCUCACAUUUUGCAAAUUUUUAUUUUGCUGAAAUACGGCUGCAAUGUCUCAAUGACAUUUUUUUUAAGAUAACAUAUUGUUCACUGUCCACAAAUCUUAGUGCAUUCAUCUGUGUUUGUUACUUUAUGUAUAAUAAAUAUUUUAAUAUUUAUAAGUUUUAUAUAACAACUAUUAUCUCUCUUAGUUUUCAUUGGUCUUUUAAAAAUAGCGCGCAUUCCGUGUCCUCUUUUGUCCUGAAAGAUAAUAUAGGACAACGUGAAUUAUAAAGUAGAAUCGGUGAAAUGGAAAUCCAGCCCAUAGAGCAUGGAACUUCUUUGUCCAAUGCCAGUGCAUCUCACUCUCUCAUUAAAGCAAAAUGUGAGACGCAAUACACAUUGGACAAAGAAAUUGGAUAGGUGGAAUACCAUCCUCAGGACAGAGUUGACAAAUAGACAGAGAUAGGGUCACUAAGUGGGUGUCCAGGUGGGACAAUUUUCCGCACAAGCUGAAAUUGACAACUUAAUUGUGUGGUUUGAACGCAUAAAUGAUAAGAAAGGACACUGGCUCGCCGAUUCCAAUAUAAACACAUUCAUUGCCACUAAGUGCUACGGGUUACGCUCGUAGCGCGUAGCCACGUCUUUGCCAAAUGGAGCGCAUAGUCGCUACGAACAGUGUACCCGACAGUCGGGUUCUAGUUGCUGAAUGUGUUAAAUUGUAUACGCUAGAUAAGAUUGAUAAUCAGAUUUCUAAUCAACUUGGUAAUUUAAUUGUUCCGUUUGGACGGGCCUUAAGACAAAAUUAACUGAGACGAGACUGUUUAGAACGCACACAUAGGUACUUAUCGGCUUUAGGCUACUGGCCGCCCAAGUACCUAAGCACGUGGAAAUCGGCUAGUUAUGAAAUACCCUCUGCCUAUCUUUCAUCUCUGUGCGACACUCACAGCGACAAAAAACAUGACAUGAUAUUUAACUAGGUACCCUUAAGUAUGUAUACAUAAUCCCAUAAUGACCUUUUUUGCUGACCGUAUAUGCGCGUUGUUUCCUAGACUAGUGUGUAAACACAUUUAUGCAUUAUUUCGUUUGAUUGUUUAGACAUCCGUCCAUAACUUGUUUUGUCAAAUGAUUUGUUGCAUUUACCUUUUUUUUCGUUAUUAAUUUGCAUUGCACUAAUUGACCUAUCAGGAAUUAUUUGAAAACAUAAUUUUCGUAGCCACUACGGUCAUAUCAAACUUAGUUGUACCUAACUUAGCGUUUCAAAUAAGAUUUGAAGUAAUAUAUUUAUGUAAAUCGUGUAAACUGCAUAAAUUUGUGUGAUUUAGAAGUAGUUUGAUGAGAAAAUAUUUACUACUAAGUAACUUUUGCACUUUCUGAUUCAAAACUUAGCGGUAUACAAAAAAGCCCAGAAUCGUAAGGCGCCAAUCGCACGACAGCUUUUUCAACGCGCGUUAAUAAAGCGCAGCAAUCUGUCCGCACUCUAAAUUCGAUUUAACGACCAAGGCUUAAAGUCGAAAAUCCAACAACGCUUGAUAAAAAGCUCCACCGCUGUUGUGUGAAUAAAUACACAUGUAUCCAUUUGUGUCAUUCAAACGCUUUUUUAACGCGCGUUGUAAAAGCGCCCGUGGUAAUGGGGGCUACGUAUUUAAGUUAUUAAAAUCAAUCAAUCUUAAAAAAAAUUCAUGUGGGUAGUUAUAAAAAGUUAAUUACCUUGAUAUAGGCCUACCUUAUUAAAUGUUUUGAUUGUUAUAAAUGGAAUAAUAAAAUUGUUUAUUUGUAGGUACCUACAUAUUAUUUUGACAAUGGAUUAUAUAAAGUGAUAUAAUUAUCUAAUUUUAAAUUAUGCGUUAUUGUCUCACAGCAAGAGUGUUUUAAUAUAUACUCAAACACAUCCACCUUGUCAGUAGAAAAGGCACCGCGUGAAAUUCAAAUUUUCUACGGAAAGUCUACUCUUCUCGCCUACAUUUUUUAAAUUUGCCGCCUUUUUCUUCUGUCAAACUGGGUGUGCCAGAGUAGGUAAAUAUAACCACUUUUGUCUAUCAAGGUUCUAUAUUAAGUACCUACCCUCAUAAGUACCCGUAUCGGUGCUAAGAAAUUACACUACAUUGAUACAUAAACCACCAAAACAUACAUAGAUGUAUCCUACCAUAUUUGCUCAUUAAAUGCAUUAAGUUGUAACACUAGUAUUAUCUGGAUUAAAUCUAUUUUUACUGGAA